GUUUUGGUUGUUGUUUUGGGCACUGCUCAUAGCCAAUAAAACUGCUAAAUUGUAUUUCCUGUGUUCUGGCCUUGUUUGGGAAUAGGAAGAGUGGGAAGCUACACUUUUAUGUUGCGUCCCGGACACCCCUAGACCUUGGGACGUAACACACCUUAACUGGCAUUGCUAACGUCAAAAGCAAGAUGGUGUUCAUUUUAUAAUAUGCAAAGUUUUGAACGCUUCUAUAUAUUAGUGAUCAGUAGGAUAAACCAAGAAAAAUCCUGGACUUUUGAGACUUUAAAUUGCUGUUUUCCUCUGGAGGGUGCUGAAAGCAUCAACAUCUAUUUCUUUAUAUGCACUUCCUCUGUCUAUUUUUGGUCCUGUAGAAAAACCCUGUGCCAACUUAUCUGGUGCUGAAGCAGUUCCUACUGCAGAGGAACCUCAAUGAGGUUUUCACCGGUGGAAUUUGCUCAUUAGCAAGACCUCUUAAUGUUUUUAUCAACUUGAUCUUAUUUUUUGGAGGAUGUUUUGUUCUAUAACAGACUUUGGGCCCUUUUGGUUAUGUAGUUUUUAUUAAUAAGGUAUUUGCAACAAUUGUGGUUAAUGAAUACAUGAAUUAUCAACAUGCACAAUUCUGAAUAAAACAGCCCUACAUGCAGUAUUCAGCAUGAACAAUGUGAAGACCGUCAUGCUGUCGAAACAUCUAAAAGUCUCGUCAAUGACCUGUUAAACUCAUUUAACCAUCUGCAAUAAGUCUAACAUCUACCCGUGUGUUUUCCAGCUUCGCUACAGGGGAAGGACGUGUGCAGUCCCAACAUCAACAUCGGUGUUCUUCUCAUUGAAUUCUUUGAACUCUACGGUCGCCACUUCAACUACCUGAAAGUAGGUAUCAGGAUAAAAGAUGGAGGUUGUUACGUUGCCAAAGACGAGGUUCAGAAGAACAUGAUGGAUGGCUACAGGCCCUCCAUGCUCUACAUUGAGGACCCACUGCAACCAGACAACGAUGUUGCCCGGAGUUUGUACGGUGCCAUGCAGCUUAAGCAGGACUUUGACUACGCCCGUGUGGUGCUCAGCCAUGCUGUACCCUCUCAUUUCAGAGUCACUAGUGAUUUUAGUUUCUGUGCAAAAACUUCCACAUGAAACGAGAGCUUUCAAACAACUGCCACGGUCCAUGUUUUACUGCAGCUGGUACAUUGCUGGUCUUUCCUUCAGUCCUUGCUUCACAGACAGCUUUAAUGUUAAACAAGUGGAGUUUUUUAUUGACGAUAAAUAAGCACUGAGCUGUUGCUUACACAAUGGAGAUGGCAGGGGAAACCAAAGUCAGUCACUUCUAAUGAAUCCAAAUACCUCACUGUCAUUCACGUCAAAGCGUGGUUAGGCCAAAAUUUCUUAAAACUAAAUGAGAGUAAAACAGAGAUCAUGCAGUUUGGCCCCACUAACUGCACGAUAGACUUGGGCCCCCUCAAUGACUUUGUGCAUCCUGUUGUAACUAACCUUGGGGUCAAAAUAGACAGUGAUUUUAAACUUGACAAACAAAUAAAUGCGGUUGUGAAAUCUAGUUUUUAUCAUCUUCGCCUUUUAGCCAAAGUUAAACCUUUUAUUUCUUCUCGUUGUACUGUAAUGCACUUUAUAUCGGUAUAAAUCACAACGCACUUUCACGCUUACAGUUAGUCCAAAAUUCUGCAGCACGUCUUUUAACAGGAACCAAAAAGCGCGCUCAUAUAUCUCCAACUCUUGCCUCAUUGCACUGGCUUCCUGUUCGUUUUAGGAUUGAUUUUAUUGUUUGUUUUUAAAGCUGUGAAUGGACUGGCCCCAACAUAUAUCUCGGACCUCAUCCAAAUUUAUACGCCAGUGCGGUCACUGAGGUCAGAGGGCCAGCUCCAGCUUGCGGCCCCCAAGAAAAGAGAGGGCCUUUUCUGUGGUUGGACCUAAACUCUGGAACGCUCUGCCCCUCCAUGUCCGAAUAGACCCUACAGUUGAGUGUUUUAAGUCUCCUCUACAGACACAUUUUUAUUCUUUGGCUUUUAACUCUGUGAGUUGUGUGGUCCUCUGAUUGUUUUACUGUAUUUUAGUAUUUAAACCUGAUGCUCUUAUUUUGUUUUUACAAAAUUUUAUAUUAAUUGUUUUGUAUGUUUGAGUCUUCUGUGCAGCACUUUGGUAACUUUGUGUUUGUAAAAUGUGCUAUAGAAAUAAAGUGGAUUGAAUUCA